UACGAAGGGGGCUAGCGUUGUUCGGAAUCACUGGGCGUAAAGCGCACGCAGGCGGAUCGUUAAGUCAGGGGUGAAAUGCCGAGGCUCAACCUCGGAACUGCCUUUGAUACUGGCGAUCUUAGAGUCCGGGAGAGGUGAGUGGAACUCCGAGUGUAGAGGUGAAAUUCGUAGAUAUUCGGAAGAGCACCAGUGGCGAAGGCGGCUCACUGGCCCGGUACUGACGCUCAGGUGCGAAAGCGUGGGGAGCAAACAGG
rnacentral:rRNA from 1 species